rnacentral:lncRNA from 1 species
CCCACAGGGAAGAGAAGCCCCAGGGCCCACCUGGGGAGGCGGAGGCCUGCAGGUCUGACUGAUGGGCCGUAGUCUCCUCUGGUCUCAGGCUCCCAGCCCUCAACCCAUGUGGACACCACAAAUCCUCCAGGCCACAGGUGCAAGAACACCAGGCCCUGAUCAGUGGCUGCCGAGACGCCUGAGGGCAUGGAGCCAUGGGAACACAACCCCACAGCACGGGAUACAAGCCCGCCCCUGCCGCCGGCACCCAAGCUGCUACCUCGGCUUCUCCGGCUCAUGCGAAGCUUGGCCGUAUGAAGCAGGUGGGCUGAGCCUGCACCCUGAAAACCAGAGCCCUGAGGGCCCCACGCAGUGGCAAAGGAGAGCCCACUAUCUCCUGUUUUCAGUUUCACUUUUACCAUCGUAAAAGAAGAGCAGUUUUGGUGCAUUUUUCAACCUCUCAACAAAAACACACACGGAAGAAGAUUCCAACAGCACCCUGCUCUUGCUGGGACCCGCUCCGUGACAAUGCAGCCAGGGACGGUCAGAGACAGACCCAAGGCUCAUGUUGCUGGGACCUGCUCCGUGACAAUGCAUCCGGGACGGUCCGAGACAGACCCAAGGCCCAGGCCAGAUGCCUGCACAAGACUUGAUCCGUGACAAUGCCGCUGGGGACAGUCAGAGACAGACCCAAGGCCCAGACCAGAUGCCUGCACAAGACUUGCUCCGUGACAAUGCCGCUGGGGACAGUCAGAGACAGACCCAAGGCCCAUCGUGCUGGGACUCGCUCCGUGACAAUGCAGCUGGGAUGGUCAGAGAUAGAACCAAGGCCCAGACCAGACGCCUGCACGAGACCUGCUCUUGCUGGGACCCAGCUCCAUGACAAUGCAGCUGGGAUGGUCAGAGACAGACCCAAGGCCCAGGACAGACGCCUGCACAAGAUCCCAGGCACAGAUGCCCCACCCCACGAGCAGGGCUUCUCAGUUGGCCGCAGGGGCACUCAGCGUGGUGACCAGCAAGAGACAAACAGCAGCACUGCUCAAGAAUCCACUGGGGAUUGUGGGGAAAAAACAGAGGAAGGGGAAGUAAGGGGAGAAGGAAAUCAGGUAGAAAACCCAGAAAUACAGAAGAUGCUAGCGAGUGAGUGAGCACGCACUGUCCAUGCCACAUCCUCAGACAGUGCCGAGCCAAGUUCCUCCAUAUCCCAUGGCACAGACACAGCACAACGCGCCUGGGCAUGGCCGUCACACCUGAACCACCAGUCACUAUGGGACGGCUCCGCACAUGCUCAGGACAGCCUCAGAAUGCUGUCCACUGUGUCGUCAGCUGCAGCAGGCUCCCAGUCGGAGCCGGGCUCUCCUCUGCGUCCUUCGUGACUGUCCAGAGGGAAGGCUGAGGUGCCACGACAUCCCGCCAGCUCCAGGCGUGCACCGGGCGCCAGCACCAUUCCCACUGCCGGGCUCUGACUUACAGAGGGGGUGGGCUGGGGUGGGGGAGAGCUCCUCCAGGGCUGCUGUUUGUGAUUUUGUUUAGAGGAUGUUUGAGCUGAUGAUUCCAAUGUGAUCCGCAAGAAUUAAGUGAAAGGCAAGAUGCAGUGAUCUUUGUGCGUUCCAAAACGGCCGCUUAGCAGAACUCCAGUCCAAGUUGAGGUAAGAGAAAAUGAUUAGGGUCCAAAGAGUGAACUACCCAGCACAUUAGUGGUUAAAGUGAG